rnacentral:rRNA from 1 species
AGAGUUUGAUCCUGGCUCAGAUUGAACGCUGGCGGCAUGCCUAACACAUGCAAGUCGAACGGAAACGAUGGGAGCUUGCUCCCAGGCGUCGAGUGGCGGACGGGUGAGUAAUACUUAGGAAUCUACCCAGUAGCGGGGGACAACUCGGGGAAACUCGAGCUAAUACCGCAUACGCCCUACGGGGGAAAGCAGGGGAUCUUCGGACCUUGCACUAUUGGAUGAGCCUAAGUCGGAUUAGCUUGUUGGUGAGGUAAAAGCUCACCAAGGCGACGAUCCGUAGCUGGUCUGAGAGGACGAUCAGCCACACUGGGACUGAGACACGGCCCAGACUCCUACGGGAGGCAGCAGUGGGGAAUAUUGGACAAUGGGGGAAACCCUGAUCCAGCAAUGCCGCGUGUGUGAAGAAGGCCUGCGGGUUGUAAAGCACUUUCAGUAGAGAAGAAAAGCCUAGGGUUAAUACCCUUGGGUCUUGACGUUACCUACAGAAGAAGCUCCGGCUAACUCCGUGCCAGCAGCCGCGGUAAUACGGAGGGAGCGAGCGUUAAUCGGAAUUACUGGGCGUAAAGCGCGCGUAGGCGGCUUUGUAAGUCGGAUGUGAAAGCCCUGGGCUUAACCUGGGAAUGGCAUACGAUACUGC